rnacentral:ncRNA from 1 species
AAAUAUCCUUUGAUAGGGAAGAGUAACUAUUUAGUUUAGUUCAAGAGAGUUUAGAAUGGUGGAAUCUAAGCACAGUAACGAAUAGUGAAUGGGCCUUUUAGGAGUAAAGCGAAAUCUUUGGAGAGUAGUAGUUACCGUAAUCCAUACGUUAUAAUGGACGGAACAUGUUAGUGUUUUAGAUUAAGAGGUGCUUUUAUAGCACAACUUAGGUGGUACCGCGGAUUAUCCCGUCCUAAUU